rnacentral:rRNA from 1 species
AGAGGGUGCAAGCGUUAAUCGGAUUUACUGGGCGUAAAGCGUGCGUGGCGGUUCGUUGAGUCGAUUGUGAAAGCCCUGGGCUUAACCUGGGAAUUGCAGUCGAUACUGGCGGACUAGAGAACGGUAGAGGGAGGCGGAACUCCAGGUGUAGCGGUGAAAUGCGUAGAUAUCUGGAAGAACACCGAUGGCGAAGGCAACCUCCUGGGCCUGUUCUGACGCUGAGGCACGAAAGCGUGGGUAGCAAACAGGAUUAGAUACCCUGGUAGUCCACGCUGUAAACGAUGAGAACUUGANGUCGGGUCNCUUANCGAUUCNGUGUCNAAGCUAACGCNCUAAGUUCUCCGCCUGGNGANNAC